rnacentral:rRNA from 1 species
GACGUAGGGCGCGAGCGUUGUCCGGAUUUAUUGGGCGUAAAGAGCUCGUAGGCGGUCUGUCGCGUCGGAUGUGAAAAUCCAGGGCUCAACCCUGGACCUGCAUUCGAUACGGGCAGACUAGAGUUCGGUAGGGGAGACUGGAAUUCCUGGUGGUAGCGGUGAAAUGCGUAGAUAUCUGGAGGAACACGAUGGCGAAGGCAGCUCUCUGGGACGGUACUGACGCUGAGACGCGAAAGCGUGGGGAGCGAAACA